GCUGGCGUGACGCUGGUGUAGGGGUUAAGCGUGCGACCACAUAUAGAGGCUAUAGUCCUCAAAGCGGCCGUCCCAGGUUCGAGUCCUGGACCCGGCG